CAGCCGCCGCGGUAAUACGUAGGUGGCAAGCGUUGUCCGGAAUUAUUGGGCGUAAAGCGCACGUAGGCGGCUUUGUAAGUUAGAGGUGAAAGCCCGGGGCUCAACCCCGGAAUUGCCUUUAAGACUGCAGAGCUAGCAGGUGAGAGAGGUGAGUGGAAUUCCGAGUGUAGAGGUGAAAUUCGUAGAUAUUCGGAAGAGCACCAGUGGCGAAGGCGACUCUCUGGUCUGUAACUGACGCUGAGGAGCGAAAGCGUGGGGAGCGAACGGGAUUAGAUACCCCUGUAGUCCCUGUCUCUUAUAC
rnacentral:rRNA from 1 species